CCCGCCCUAACCUGAGGGCGGCUCCAGAACUGUCCUUUUCUUCACUGGCCCUGGCGCCGCUGAUCUUCCAAAGCUUCUCUCUCAUGACACCUCUUGGAAGGUAAAGAAAGGGUUAGGAGAUGUGGGUUGGCUAGGUCACUCCUGGAGCUCGGUAGAAAAACAGAUGAUGCUUCUGUCUACCUGUAAAUUCUUAGGGAAUGUUUUCUUGACAGUUUUCCGACUUAGACCCGUAGAGAAUUGGAGAACUAUGGACCCUCUCUCUAGAAAAAUGCUCACCCACACAGAAGCAGAGUUUUGCAUGGUAUUGCAGGGCGUUUUGAAACUUCUCAAGUGUCAAGACCGCCAACUUCAGACCUCUACAGGUGCCUGCGGGAGGAUGUCUGUUUUGCAAGAGGCAAAGGACAGAGGAGAUCUUAGAUGCUUGAAAAGCACAGGAGGAUUCUGAGAAGUGUGGACAGACAGAGUUAUGAUGCUGCCAGAGGAGUAACACCAUGCCAGGCAUUACUGGGUAAGCCACAGCCUCAUGGCUGACAUAGAUUGAUAGAAAUGGAUUAAUAAUUAAGACAGUUAGCCAAUAAGAAGCCCUAGUCAUCGGUCAACAGUUUCAUAAUUAAUAUAAUUCUCUGAGUGUUCAUUUGGGGCAAGGCAGCUUCGGGAAAGAGUGCUGGUAACACUCUUGGUAAGGAGUGUUAAGGCUGUUGUUCUCUCCUAGUGUUCUUUUCACAGAAAUAUGGAGACAGCUUUGAGGUUCAGAGCUUUUUGGAACAGUUCAAUAAUGACAGUAAUGCAGUUAUGUUAGCUAUGUUGAUGGAUUUUGCCUGAAGCCAUAAAUUUAUCUGUUAUGCAAAAAGAUUUUUUAAGACAGAAUCUCUCUAUGUAACCCACCUUGAAAACACAUUGAAAUCAUCAAACAAGAUAUAAAUAUGAAGGACAGAAAUGGCAUCAGGCUUAGUAAAAACUCAGAACACAUAAGUGCCUUAAGAUGAGUGCCCUUGAGUAUCAGGCAGAGAACCCCUCUGCUAAUGAGUCUUCUAAUGCCACCUUUGCACUGGAUUGGUGUGUGUGUGUGUGUGUGUGUGUGUGUGUGUGUGUGUGUAUCUUGAGUUUCAGGAAGCAGCCAGUGGAACUAUCCUUCAUGAGUCCUCUUGUGAUUAUGGUAGUUUUUUUUCUUUAAAGAUUAAAUCAUUUUCCCCUUUCUGUUCAACAAAGACAACAGCCCUUUGGUUUUUGAUAAGUGUUUCUUUCCUUGUAGCAGGUGGGUUUGCCCCGGGCACUAAGAGCUGUGCUUUUAAAACACACAGAAGCCCAGAUGUUUGUAUCUGCUGCAUCUUUUUUCUCCCAUUUUUUGCCCUGAAGGCUGGUUUUCUCUGCUUUGCUGGCUGAUAACAUGUGGAAGAGAGAGAACAGUUCUAACUAAUAGACUAAUUAGUGAUACAAGCCUUUAAUAACUGAGUAUAGGAAAGUCAUUCCCUACCCCCAAGUGAUUAAUUUAUUUAUUGCUGUUGUGCUGCAUUAGGGUAAACUAGUCAACUUCUAGCUAUUGGCAAAUUCAAUCAAUCCCCUUUCUUCAUUUCCUUUCUUUCAUUUGCUAUACAGUGCUCAGGCAGUAUAGAAGAAUCAAUUCAGCUGACAAGCAGCUCUGGCAGAUGUGCUAGGACCUUGAUGUCACCAUUUCUCACACCAUUAGGAACUGUAGGAACUGAGAAGCAGGGCACAGCAUGGGAUAAUAACAGGUUCAGCAAUACAGCCAUAUCUAUAGCCCUCUAUUGGUGCUCCAAGAUACUCCUUCCCAGCUGUUCUGCACCCUGAGCUCUGCUGCCAUCAUGUUUCCAUCUCUCUAAGAGUCUCAGACAUGCCGGGCAUUGGUGGCACAUGCCUUUAAUCCCAGCACUCAGGAGGCAGAGGCAGGCGGAUUUCUGUGAGUUCGAGGCCAGCCUGGUCUCCAGAGCGAGUGCCAGGAUAGGCUCCAAAGCUACACAGAGAAACCCUGUCUCGAAAAAAAAAGUCUCAGACAUAUCUCUAUUUCCUCCCAUAUCUUUCUGCAAACUGUAGAUGAUUGUGUAAAGAAAUUUAGCUUUUGAAUAAAGUCUCCACUCUAGGCUAUUUUCAAAUCUAGAGUCAGAAAAAAAUCUUGUCUGCCCUUCCUCUUAAAAAGACAACCCUCUCAUAAACUAAAUAGAAACCUCCUAAAGGAAAAGGAAGUGUUUUGCUUCUAUCUUCACUGGAAAACUCAUCUCCAAAAGUCCAAGAACACUCCAUGGGUAGAUACUUAAGAAGAGAAGGUAGCUAUAACCAUCAAACAAAAGGAACGUGCCAUAUGGUAAACUUUUCAGCUGUCUCUCAAAUAACUCAAUUUCUCUUCAUUUCCUAGUCCCUAUUCAAGUAAAUCAAUGCUGGAUUUAGAGUUGGAUUUGGCUUUCCUCCGCUUAAAUCCAAGUAUGUUGGUUAACUAAACUUUAGAGUUUCUGUAUUAUAUCAAGAAGCCAAUUGAUGUAAUACAGAAUGAGAGAAGAAUUUGGUGACUGUCUUUGUCUUUCUUGGCUUUUUCCUUCAAGGUGUACAUUGUCUCACAAUCAUUAUUUUUUCCCGAUUGCCUUUUUCAGCAUAUAUACAUAUACAAGCAAACAUUUCUCUGCUAAUACUUAUGUUUGAGUCCCACACAGCCAAUGAAGACCCACCUGACAGCAAUCACUGGAUGCUCUGGAAAAGAAAUUGGGCCAUACCUCCUAGACUGCACUGGAUCCAACUUACUCCAUUUCAACUGACACUCCAACUAGAGCUUCGAGUCCUGACUUCAAUCAAGUUGAGGAUUUCAACCUAGAUCUUCAGUCAAACAAAUCCCGUCUAACAUGGACUGGAUAUAAUCCGUUGGAGACUUUCACUAUACUAACAUUUUCUUCCCAUAGGACCCCACAAGGCUACCAUCGUCCCAUUUCAGCAGGAAGUAAAUUGUAGGAUGCUACACCCCUGUUCCCCAUUAUUGUCUAUUAGGGUAGUGUAAGCCUAGUUAGGAAUAACUUUCCUAUUGUUCCGGGUUGGAAUUGGAAGGAGGUGUUCAAGUUCAGAUGACUUUAGGGUUUAGCUGAAAUAGACAUAGUUAGGAUGUGCAAUAACAGAUUAUUGUAUCUUCUUGUAUUUCACCUUUAUGAUUGUUAAUUUUGGAUAUUUUACACUAUUAAGUUUUAAUCCCCUUUUAGACUAAAAGGGGAAUUAUAGGGCGACACCGUAGCCACACUUCCUAAGGGCUGGCUACAGGUGUGCCUGACCACGCCUAUCAAGGCAUGGUCAAGGUGAGGUCAGGGUGACGUGGGAGGGCUUCUUAAGCAACCACAAGCCCACGGAACCAGCUCGUCCCCUUCGGCUGCCCCUUCUCUCUGGCCUCCCUGCCUUGCUGCCCCUGGGUACACUCUGGCUUGCAUUUAACUGGUAUUUAUCUGAAUAAAGGUAUCUUGAAUCUACA
ensembl:lincRNA